UACGUAGGGUGCAAGCGUUGUCCGGAAUUAUUGGGCGUAAAGAGCUCGUAGGCGGUUUGUUGCGUCGGCUGUGAAAUCCCGAGGCUCAACCUCGGGUCUGCAGUCGAUACGAGCAAACUAGAGUGUUGCAGGGGAGACUGGAAUUCCUGGUGUAGCGGUGAAAUGCGCAGAUAUCAGGAGGAACACCCGUGGCGAAAGCGGCUCUCUGGGACGGUACUGACGCUGAAGACGCGAAGCGUGGGAGCAACAGG
rnacentral:rRNA from 1 species